rnacentral:lncRNA from 1 species
CUGGGCUUUUGUCCGUGUGUGUCAGCAUUGCCCUUUCAACUAAACUGCUUUCUCUUCCUUGGUUUUAACACCUCAGUGCAUUUAUAGGCAGUAAUCCUAUCUGUCUAGUUUUUGUUUGGCUAACAACACCCAACAAACCCCCCUUAGUCCUGUAUGAUAAACUCUCUUUUCCUGUCAUAUAGUGAUGCAGCACUUCUCUGCACCUCUUUGUUUGAUUUUUUUUCUUUCUUGAACGUAGGCAACAAAAACCAUGCAUAGUGGUUCCAGGUAACAUAUUACAGUGCAUCAGUGCUUCCCUCUCCCUACUGGAAUUACUCUGGAAUUACUUCUCUUGUCACUGCCUAUAAUCUUCUUCUCCCUCUCUCUUUUUUUUUUUUUUUUUUCUCCUGAGAUGCAUCAAAUCUUAUCAAUGGCUCAGAGACAUUCAUUGUCUGACAAAUACAAAUCCACCUUUCUUUUCCUCCCUUUUUGUUCCCAUUUUCAAUAGGUAGCAAGCAUUCUUGCUAUUGGUUUUUAAAUACAUCACCUUGGAAUUUGUCCUAGUUCAGCCAACCCCACCGUUUUACUGAGACCUGCAAGUUAACCAGAGCCCUACUGGGAUGCUUCCCACCUGUGGAAAUGCACUAAUUUAAUUAGUGCACACCCACUUCUUGGCCAUUAAUGAAAGUAUUUAAGGCACUUCAUUUGGAAUACUAUUCUUGAGUGCUAAUUUCCUGUUUGGCAUAAUUUGCCAGUGCCUGCCCUUUGGAAGCUUAGAAGGUUCCUUGUGCUAAUUUUCAUCUCACAGAAUAUGAAUCAAUUCCAUGAAGUAUUUUAUAGAAGAACGGGGCCUGUGUCUCAGACAAAAGUAGAGUGCAUUUUCUGGGUGCUCCUUGUUUCUUAGUAUCAAAGCUCCAGAUAGGCUGAAGAAACUACAGAGCUCUAGAUGCUGGUGACAACUGCCAACCCUUCAUCUUAAUGGACUGCAAAUAUCAACACAUCAGAAAAUUCCCAGCCAAGCUGGAAACAUUUUCAGCACUUGUAAAACAUUCACAAAUGCCAGCAGGCAGUUCUAAAAAUCAGAAUCACUCCAUCCUGCUCCCUGGUACGCAUAACCCAUAUACAUGGCAGGGGAAGGAAGAUAUCUGUUUUACACAGGCUGUGCAUUUCUGGCAGUACGCAGCUUUGCCACUCAUCUCAGAGCAAGGACAAAGACUUGGUGUACCCCUGAGGGGCUAUCCCAGUUCAGAGGAGACCCAAGAGGAGCAGGGAGGAGUAGGAGAACACAGCCUGCACCCAGGAGGAUGCUGAGACACCAGCCAUUUAGACUGGCUCAUCCUAACUGACAUGCAGUUUCCCACAGCUGGAAAGUACUAAGCUACAGUUAUUUGAAAAGCCUAUCAACUGGGGCUGAAAAUUCCCACAGAUAAGUCUUGCGCUGUGGAAGACAGUGACAAAAUUCCCACAAAUUUCAAACAAGACAAGAGCUCACAUAUUCUCUGGAACAUAUUGCAGAAGACUUUCUGCUAAUUUCUGAAGGAGACCUGAAGAGUACAAAGAUGCUUUAGAAAGAUUCAAAAAAAAAAAAAAAAAGAGAGAGAGAGAGAGAAGUAAACAUAUUACUCUCAGCUCUUUGGAACAAUUAAAAUGUAAAGAGAAGUACCAUUUUAGUUACACACAUAGGUGCUUAACAGAGAAACUGCUCACAAUAUAUCUAAAUCCCCAACUGUUUUUGCCACAGCAGGAUUAGAUACCAGGCAUAAAGUAGUGUUCUGGCAAGGAGCCAGCGCAUUCCUGGAUUGCACAUAUGUUAGAUAUGCCUGGCGUUUAUUACAACAGUGCAAGAGCACCUCUAUAGUCAAGGGUCAGUGAGCAUUUCCAUUAUAAACAAAGAAGUUAAGGCUCUAAUAGCUUACUUGUUUCAAAGUCUCAGUGAAGAAUUGCAAAAAAAAUGUGUAUUGAAAAGCCUGACAAAAAAAUGUUAUUAGAGAAUUUUAGUUCAGAGAUCUUCCAACCCCAAUUUUUCCAGAGCCUGUAAAAAAGUAAAAUAAAAUAGCCUGUAAUAUUGUUUUUUUUUAAGCU